rnacentral:lncRNA from 1 species
CAAUUUGUACAGUGCCUGGUUAAAUGGUUGGAUGAGGUGAUAACCCACCUCACUUAAACAGAGUCUGACUUAGCUGCACUUUAUGGAUAGAUUCAGCCUUGGGUUUGGACUGCAUUUUAGACUGUUAAGGCCUAUUUUGAGGUGAGGAUGAGGGCUGAUACUGGAGUAUAUAAGUAUGUGUCAUGCAUAAUUAAUAGGUUCA